rnacentral:rRNA from 1 species
GUGGGGAAUCUUAGACAAUGGGCGCAAGCCUGAUCUAGCCAUGCCGCGUGAGCGAUGAAGGCCUUAGGGUUGUAAAGCUCUUUCAGGGGGGAAGAUAAUGACGGUACCCCCAGAAGAAGCCCCGGCUAACUCCGUGCCAGCAGCCGCGGUAAUACGGAGGGGGCUAGCGUUGUUCGGAAUUACUGGGCGUAAAGCGCACGUAGGCGGACCAGAAAGUCAGGGGUGAAAUCCCGGGGCUCAACCCCGGAACUGCCUUUGAAACUCCUGGGCUUGAGGUCGAGAGAGGUGAGUGGAAUUCCGAGUGUAGAGGUGAAAUUCGUAGAUAUUCGGAGGAACACCAGUGGCGAAGGCGGCUCACUGGCUCGAUACUGACGCUGAGGUGCGAAAGCGUGGGGAGCAAACAGGAUUAGAAACCCCAGUAGUCC